rnacentral:RNase_P_RNA from 1 species
GUAGUUUCGAUCUAUUGGAAGGGAUACACAAACGAGGCAUACAUUGCCAUACUCUCCCGGGAAGGUCUGAGAUAAGAUCGUUGAACGUUCUAGACGGACGGUAUCACAAUGAUAUGUACGAGAACCAGAAAUAGCUUUACGUUUUCCAAAAUGCCAGGGAUGCUUUUUUAACAGCAGAGGCGACUGGAAACGAAAAGUUGGAAUCUCGUAUGAUUAGCUUUUUUAGUAUAAUCCAUAAGUCUGGUAUAAUUUAUACCUGAAACUCAAUUCAGACUAAUCCGUUGCUAC